rnacentral:rRNA from 1 species
UCGCCUGUUUUUCAAAAACAUCGCUAAAUAAAAUAUUUAGUAGAAUCUGCCCAGUGUCCAAUAAACGGCCGCAGUAUCCUAACUGUGCUAAGGUAGCAUAAUCAUUUGCCUCUUAAUUAGAGGCUGGAAUAAACGAUCUGACGAGAAACUAACUCUCUCAAAUAUUCAUAUAAAUUAUAGAUAAGGUCAAAAUACCUUUAAUACCCAAAAGGACGACAAGACCCUAUAAAACUUUACUCCUAUAAGCUUAACCACUCCAGAAACAAAUGCAAACUUAAAAGAGUUUUACUGGGGCGGUAAAAUUUCUUAUCAACAUAUUUUAACAUAACAUCAUUUAUGACUCUCACAAACAUAACAGUACUAAAAGCCAAGUUACUUUAGGGAUAACAGCAUAAUAACUUUCAAGAGUCCUUAUCGACAAAGUUGUUUAGGACCUCNAUGUUGAAUUGAAAUCCCUGUUUAGAGCANCAUCUGGACCAGGAAGUCUGUUCGACUUUUAAUUUUUCACAUGAUCUGAGUUCAAACCGGA